AGAGUUUGAUCCUGGCUCAGAACGAACGCUGGCGGCGCGUCUUAAGCAUGCAAGUCGAGCGGCAAGCUAUGUGUUUACACGUAGCCUAGAGCGGCGGACUGGUGAGUAACACGUGGGUGACCUACCUAAAAGUUGGGAAUAGCCCGUUAGAAAUAGCGGGUAAUACCGAAUGUGCUUACAGGAAGAAAGUCUUGUAAGGAAAGGAGCUACGGCUUCGCUUUUAGAUGGGCCCGCGCCCCAUUAGCUAGUUGGUGGAGUAAAAGCCUACCAAGGCGAUGAUGGGUAGCCGGCCUGAGAGGGUGAACGGCCACACUGGGACUGAGAUACGGCCCAGACUCCUACGGGAGGCAGCAGCUAAGAAUAUUCCGCAAUGGACGAAAGUCUGACGGAGCGACGCCGCGUGGAUGAUGAAGGCCGGAAGGUUGUAAAAUCCUUUUGUCAACGAAGAAUAAGCGGAGGAGGGAAUGCCUUCGUGAUGACGUUAGUUGACGAAUAAGCCCCGGCUAAUUACGUGCCAGCAGCCGCGGUAACACGUAAGGGGCGAGCGUUGUUCGGAAUUAUUGGGCGUAAAGGGCGCGUAGGCGGUUUUGCCAGCCUGAUGUGAAAGCCUGGGGCUUAACCCUGGAAUUGCAUUGGGAACUGCAAGACUUGAAUCAUGGAAGGGAAAUCAGAAUUCCAGGUGUAGGGGUGAAAUCUGUAGAUAUCUGGAGGAACAUCGGUGGCGAAGGCGAACUUCUGGCCAUGUACUGACGCUGAGGCACGAAGGCGUGGGGAGCAAACAGGUUUAGAUACCCUGGUAGUCCACG
rnacentral:rRNA from 1 species